CUGACAACAAUAUGGUGAGACUUCCCUCCCUCUGGCUCGGGGCCACAGGCACCAUCAGAGCACACACCACGUACUAGGAGUGGGCAGAAUAGCAGGAAAAGGUCAGACUGAACACUUCCUUCUUUUGAAAGAAAUACACCUGAGCUCAGGUGCUUGUCUGUUGAGCAGAGAACAUAUCUGUGAGGCAUUUGUCAAACAAGCAGUGCCGCCGAGGGUGGGAUGUGGAACUCCUAACCAGGACAAGUCGGUCACAAGUGACCCUCCUUGAUAAUGAUGAGCAAUCCUAACAAAAGGGGAUCUUAGGGGGAAAGAGCCAUCUCACCCCGGAGUGGUGAUAAAGGAGAAAGGGAACGUGCUAGGCAAUGUAUAAUAUUUGGAUCUGUUUAUCUUGAGUGAGAAGGAAAACAGGAAUGAAUGGGCCUCAGAGGGCCAUGUGACAUCCCCCGUCAGGAGGUCUUACAGGGACAGGGCAAGUGUCCAGGCCUCAUUUGAGAAGAUGCAGCAAAUGCCAAUUCUCCUUUGCCUCCUUGGAAUUUGUAUCCUUCACUGUAAGAGGUUUCUUCAUUUAAAAAUGCGAGGAAUAGAAAAUGAAUAAUUAAAAAACUUUUAAUUUUACAAAUUAAAAGAUAAAAUGGUUGGAGUUCCCUGAUGGCUCAGCAGGUUGAGGAUCCAGCAUUGUCACUUCUGUGGCACGGGUUCAAUCCCUUGCCCUGGAACUUCCACAUGCCUCUGGCAUGGCCAAAAUAAAAAAGGAUAUUGUUAUGUUUUCCAUUAUCUUCUGCUCUGGACAUCACCCACAGCUAGCUGGUUCCUUAUCUCUUCUACUGUCUAAGUUAUCUUCAGGGAAAAUCUGGAUCCCUUGGGAGGCAAAGCAUAUAAUAAGGAGUCUCUUAUUCAUUUUAAUUGCCCAUUUCUCUUAUCUAUUAUGAGCACAAUGUCACAAAUAAAUAAACAUUCAAAAAUCCUACCACUCAAAUAACACAGACAUAAUUACACAUGUCCCACAAAUAUUUGUUUAUAAUCUACAUGGUGUUUACAGGUCAUAGUCAUCAUUUUUAAGCUACAUGUCUUUAUGUUAAGAACCACACAUACAGAAAAGAGGACACAUCUUGAAUAGAUGGCCCAAUGAAUUUUCGGGAUUAAACACACCCACAAUAACAAACAUCCUCAAAUAGAACAUUACCCAAAACCCAGAGCUCUCCUCAUUUCCUCUCCAGUUACUACCCAAAGCCCCACAGUUACUCGGGAUCCUGACCCCUUUUACCGCGAAUCAGCUUUGGCGACUGUGUAAAUGGAAUCAAGCAACAUACAUGCUUUCCUGUCUGGCUGCUUCAUGCAACAUUGUGAGAUUCAUUUUUGUUAUUGCAUGGGACAGUAGUUUGUUCGUGUUCAUUGCCAUAAAUGAGUCCUUUGUAUGACAUAUGGAUGAUUUUUCCAUCUAUUCCACAACUGGACAUUUGAGUAGUUUCCAGUCUGGGGCUAUUAUGAAUAGUAUUCCAUGAAUAUUCUCACAAAUGUUUUGGUUCAACAUGUACAAAUUUGUUAAGUAUCUAAGAGUGGAAUUGUUAAAUCAUAUGUUCAGCUACAGUAGAUACUGUUAAACGGUUUUCAAAAUUGGUUUUAACAAAUUACAUAUCAUUGAUUCACAUCUUUGCCCACUGAUUCAUAUCUUUGCCCAUACUUGGUGAUAUCAGUCUUUUUAUUUUAUUUUAUCUUAUUUUAUUUUAUUUUGGCCAUGCCCAUGGCACGUGGAAGUUCUCGGGCCAGGGAUCAAACCCACAUCACAGCAGCAACCAGAGCCAUAGCAGUGACAGCACUAGAUCUUUAACUUGCUGUACCACAAGAGAACUCCUCAGCUUUUUUAAAUUUCAGCAUAUCCACUGAGUCUGUACAUGUAUGUCAUUGUGGUUUUUUGAAUGCCAUUUUCAUGAUGAUUCUUUGUUUUUACACAUUAUAGAUCAUCCUUUGAAGUCCUAUCUAGUCUUUUGAGUCUUCUGAUUCUUCCUUUUCUGGUAUGGAAUUUUUAAAAUAUACACAAAAGCAAAAUAUGAUAUGUACACACAAAGGAAUAACAUUCACCCUUUUAAAAGAAGGAAGUUUAGGAGUUCCCUGGUGGCCUAACGCGUUAAGGAUCCAGUGUUAUCACUUUCGUGGUUCUUUCGAUCUCUGGCCCUGAAACUUCCACAUGCCCCAGGUAUGGCCGAAAGAAAGAAAGAACCUUUUUUUUUCUUUUUCAGCCACCCCAUGGCAUAUGGAAGUUUCCAAGCCAGGUAUGGGAUCUGAGCCAGAGCUGCGAUCUAUACCACAGCUGCAGCAAUGCUAGAUCAUUAACCCACUGCACCACGUCAGGAACUCCCAGAAAGUACCUAUCUUUAAAUGAACUGAACAACAACAGAUUGGCCUUCUGGACACGACGGUUUUAUUUUAUUUAUUCAUUUGUUUGUUUGUUUUGAAGGAUGUUACAGAAAUAGGAAAACUGACCUUCCUCUUAGUUCUAUAAUUCUAGAAGAUUUUUCCUGACAGUUGAGUCUUGGGCUGAAUAUGGACUGUGAUUAUCUUUGACCUCUUUGUAGUGACUUUUUGAAAGUGUUUCCCCUCCCCUAUGAAGGUCUGGGAGCUAGGUGGUGUUUUCAGAUCAUUCAUAGCCGUGACCCUACAUGCCUAGGUUAGGCCACCAAAAAAUUGCUUUAGGUGUCAUAUGCCAUUGUUGAGAAUAAACUGUGAUUGAAACAGACUGAUUUCAUGGAUGCCUGUUAGUGUGCCAGCUUUCUUAGAGACUUGGUGCUAUAGAUGAAUGUUCAUGUCCCCUCAAAUUCAUAUGUUGAAAUCUAAUCCCUAAUGUGGUGGUAUAUGAAGGCAGGAUCAUUGGUGAUGAUUAGGUGGCUGGGUGGAGCAAUCAGUGAGAGGAUUAGUGCCCUUAUAAUGGAGACCCUGGAGAGCUCCUCCACCUCUUCUGCUAGGCCGAAUACAGCAAGGGGACAGCAUCUAUGAGCCAGGAAGCAGGCCCUCCCCAGACACAGACUCUGCUGGCCUUGAUCACGGACCCCCAGCCUCCAGAACUGUGAGAAAUAAAUGCUGUUUAAGCUACCCAAUCCUGUCGAUUUUUGCUAUAUAGCAGCCUGAGGGGAUUAAGAUAUGCCUCACCUUCUCCACCUCAACUAUAAUCUUUGACCAAGUCCUUUCUCUGGUAUCUCCCAUUUGAACUGCUACUCACUCCCCACUAAAGGCCACAGUCCGAAUUAGAUACCAAUGGUUUGUUUCUCUGGGCGACCCCUGGCCCAGUCCUAUUCCAGCCAUGGAAUCCCCCAUCCAGAGCCAAGUGAGAGCUUUCCUCAUUCAAGCCAUUUCCUGUCUGAAACAGAAACCAAGUCAAUGACUGCCCUAAACACUGUGGUCACUUUCAAGGAGGAUAGGAAUCAGCUUGGUGUAAAGGGCCCUUUUAUGGUUAUUUUUACUUUUGGGGGGCCCACACCCUUGGCAUGUGGAAGUUCCUGGCCCAGGAUUGAACCUGAGCCACAGCAGGGACAACGCCAGAUCCUUAACUUGCUAGGCCACUAGGGAACUCCUGGUUAUUUUUACUUUUACUAGAGCCUUGUCAGGAAACAUUGUUUUAUUUUUUUUUAUUGCUGUAUAGUUGAUUCACAAUGUUAAUUUCAGCUGUACAGCAAAGUGACUCAUUUAUGCAUACAUAUAAAUUCUUUUUUGAAAUAUUACUUUCCAUUAUAGUUUAUCCUAGGACAUUGAAUAUAGUUCCCUAUGCUACACAGUAGGAUCUUGUCUAUCCCCUCCUUGGGUGAUAGCUUAAAUCUGCUAACCCCAACCUCCCAUUCCAUCUCUCCCCUAACCCCCACCCCUUUGGCAACAAGUCUGUUCUUGUCUGUGAGUCUUGUUUCUACUUCACAGAGGGGUUCAUUAGGAAAACAUUAUUUUAAUAGGCACUAAACCCAAGCUUAUUUUUAACCUAUUUAGGUCGUCACUACUCUUCAACUUGAAGUAUUUAAGGCAAUUUGUACAGUCAGGUCUAAAUGCAAAGUACAAUUAUAAAUCUUUCACUGAUUUUGGAGAAAAAUUUAUGCCAAAAUAUGCUAUCAGCUAUGUUCAAAUAGAUGAUUUCUAAGAUCCAUUGUAGGUUUAGAAUGCUCUGAUUGUUAUGAAGUAAUAAAAAUGGAGACCACAGGGGAGAGAAGUGCAGUUACUUUCCCUGUUCUACACACGAGACAACUAAGUCCUAGAAAGGAUGAAUAGACUGCUGCCAGGAUUCCCCAUGCCAGGAUUCUGAUUCUGGCUCCAAUGCACACACGUUCAACACCACUGCUCUCUGUAAAGGACACUGCCAUCCUCAUGUACCCAGCUAGACUGAAAGGAAAAAGGCAUCAGGCCUAAGCAAGGAUAUAGAUUGGAUAGAAAAAUGCACCACCAAUAAGAGUUAACAAGCCAUGGGAAAUGCUACUAUAAUGAAGCUAUGCCAUAUUUAAAGAGAUAGUACAUAUUCCUAUCUAGUGACAAUCAAGCAGGUGAACUUGCCUAAAUCAGAGACUAAAGGGACAGUGGAAGAACUUUUCAUUCUGAAGUUCUACAUCUAGUGAGGCCCAAGAGAGUCUAAUCUGUUUACCCACUGAAAGUGUUACUCAAAUACAGUUUCUACAGGAAGAGACUCAGUUACUUUAUCACUGUUUUGUCUGGCACAGAGAAGAUGAGAAAUAUUUACUGACUGCCCAGCUGGUUGAAUUCAAACAUGUUCUGGCAUAUUUUGGUGGGCAGAUGAAGUGGGCUAGCUAUGAUUUUAUUGAGAUGUGGGCUUGAUAUGAAAUAACUGAAUUAGUUGGGAGUGAUUGUAGAAGCCGUUGGGAUAAGACCCCCCAGACAGAUGGGAGGAAACCAUGGCUAUCGCCCUUGGCCCCAGGAGGAGAGCAUCAGGGUGGCUAAGUUUAGUAUGAUGGUCUUAACUGAGCUGUGGGGAAAAGAAUAGUUUACAUGCACAGUUCUGCAUCUAAAUUGGGUUUGGUGGGAGGAAGGAGGAAGUGGGAUAGAUGAGGAGGUUGGGGUUGGUGGAUGCACACUAUUGAAUCUGGAAUGGAUAAGCAGUGAGGUCCAGCUGUAUAGUAUAGGGAACUAUAUCCAAUCUCUUGGGGUAAAACAUGAUAGAGGACAGUAUGAGAAAAAGACCAUAUAUGUGUGUGUGUGUGUGUGUGUGUGUGUGUGUGUCGUGUGUGUGUGUAUUUAUAUGUAUAUAUGUGUGUAUACACGCACACACACACACCUAUAUAUGACUGGGUCACUAUGCUAUACAGCAGAAAUUUACACAAUACCACAACACUAUAAAUCAACUAUACUCUAAUAAAAAUAAAAUUAAAUUUAAAAAAAUCUUAGCCUUGAAAUAAAUAAGUAAAUAAAUUGGGUUUGGGAUGCACCUUAAGGGAAUUUGGGGCCAGUUUCCAAGAAGCAAAGGACUUCAUGAUCUAAAACAUUAGGUAGAGGGAGUUCCCAUCAUGGCACAGCGGAAACGAAUCCAACUAGGAACCAUGAGGUUGUCGGUUCGAUCCCUGGCCUCUCUCAGUGGGUUAAGGAUCCAGCGUUGCUGUGGCUGUGGCAUAGGCUGGCAGCUACAGCUCUGAUUUGACCCCUAGCCUGAGAACCUCCAUAUGCCGCGAGUGUGGCCCUAAAAAGACCCAAAAAAAAAAAUGGUUGCUUCUANGGGAAGCUGGAAGCACAAAGUCGUUUGUUUCCAGCUUCAUUUCAGAACUUAGCAUGAAAGGAAGGAGAACCUUCUUUCCAUGACUCAUGGGAGAUGUUGGUGAUGCCAACAACUGUCAAUCAAAAUGGAUGAACAAGGUGGAGGCUAAAGGAAAAGUUUUAACGGUCAUUUGAAUGGAUGGUCUCUUGGAAACCAAGGCCCAAGCAGAAUGUCAGGAGCAACAGAGAGAAGAAGAGGUGGUUCCUUGAGUAUAAGAGGUCUGCAGCUUACUGGCUAUGACAUCUUGGUUCACCUGUCCUACUGCAACCAACUGACUCAAUCCCUGGGGCCUGUCUCCUACAUGAGACAUCCUGGGACCAGGCUGGACAUUGGGAAGCUUUCUCUGUAUCUUCUGGUCCUUUCAAGAAGCAAUAUCCCACAUCUUUACUGGAAAGUAUCUGGAUAAGUCUGCCAUUUGGGAACACAUGGCAUUAUCAGAGAACAGUGGAAAACAGGCUACUCUUGAAGUGUCCUCUUUAAAAACCUCCUAUAUUCAAAUGACUACAGGUGAAAAGUCUGACAAAAGAAAUUAACAUUUAUUUAUAUUAGCAACGACUUUGUUAUUUCCUCAAGGGAUCCAGAGAAGAAAUUUGUCCUAUGUCUCAGUACCAAGAACAGUUUUGCUUCCUCCAAGCAGCUCUUUUUCUUUUAUGGUAUUUGAGCUGUGAAUCAUGGAACAGGUACAUGAAAAGGUGCUCUGCAUCACUGAUCAUCAGGGAAAUGCAAAACCACAAUAAGAUAUCACCUCCCACCUGUGAAGGUGUCUAUUAUCAAAAAGAUGAGAGGUAACACAUGCUGACAAGGAUGUGGAGAAAAGAGAUCCCUUGUGCACUGUUGGUGGGAAUGUAAACUGGUGCAGCCACUGGAAAUGAGUGUGGAGGUUCCCCAAGAAAUUAAAAAUAGAACUACCCUAUGAUCUAGCAAUGCCACUUUUGUGUAUACAUCCAAAGGAACCAAAAAUCAUUAUGUCCGAGAUGUCUGUACUCCCAGCAUUCAUGGCAGCAUUAUUCACAAUAGCCAAGGUAUGGAAGCAACCUAAGUGCCCAUCAACAAAGCGAUGGAUAAAGAAAAUGGGGUGUAUAUAUGGAAUAUUACUUAGCCUUAAAAAAAGAAGCCCUGUCAUUUGCACCAACAUUGAUGAAUCUGGAAAGGAUUAUGCUAGGUGAAAUAAGCCAGACAAAGAAGGACAAACACUGCAUGGUAUCACUUAUAUAUGGUAUCUUAAAAAAAAAAAAAGUCAAAUUCAUAGAAACAGAGAGUAGGAAAGUGGUUGCCAGGAGUUGGGGGUUGUGGAAAGUAGGAAGAGCCUGGUAAAAAGGGUACAGACUUUCAGUUGUAAGAUGAAUAAGCUCUAAAGAUCUAAUGUGUAAAAUGGUGAGUACAGUUGCUAAUACUGGAUCAUAUAAUUGAAAUUUGCUGAGAGAGUAAAACAAAUUUUCUCACCAAAAAAGUAAACACCUGAAGUUCCUGUUGUGGCGCAGUGGGUUGAGUCUGACUGCGGCAACUCAGGUCACUGCGGAGGCUUGGGUUUGAUCCACGACCCAACUCAGUGGGUUAAAGGAUCCAAUGCUGCUGCAGCUGCUGCCUGGAUUCAGUCCCUAGCCAGGGAAUUUCCAUAUGCCACUAGUGCAUCCAUUAAAAAAAGAGAGAGAAAGAAAGACAAAUGCCUCAAGUGAUGGAUGUAUCAAUAACUCUCCAUGGGGAGGAUCCUCUCACAAUAUAUCUGCAUAUCAAAUCAUCAUGUUGUAUACUUUAAAUAUCUUAUAAUUUUAUUGAUCAGUUAUACCUCAAUAAAGUGGAAAAAAA
rnacentral:lncRNA from 1 species